CAUUACCAGAAGCUGGGCUGUCUUGGCACUUUGCCCCCAGUUGUCCCCGUCAUAGGGCAGAGAGAGAGGCGAGCCACCAAGCAAGGCGGAGGGCAGCAAUCCCAAACAUGUACAGAGACCAAGCAUAGGGAGAGGGGGAAUCAAACAAGUGGAAAUAUGAGAACAGGCAUAAGGCACUUUUGAGUUUUGGUCCUUGCUACUGACAAAUUUCUUCAUGUGAAAAGGAAAACCACCUUUUAAACUGCUGAGAGGACGCAAAGCUACCACCAAAUUUCCCAAAGGCAACAACUGAUAGAGCUUUCCAUACGAUUGCACUCUGAGGAUGCAGAUAUUCAUGAUCAGGUCAAGACUUUCCAGCAAGCCUAUGAUGAGAAAAGAGGUAAGGGAAUCUCAUCUCAAGAGAAGAACUGGAGAGGACUUUGAUCUUGCCUCCAGUUUUGUUCUCACAGAGGAGGCUGAUGAAAGUGAUGGACAAACCUUUGUACCAGAAAGAAUAUUAUGAACAGCUCCUUGGUCGGAGAACCCAAUAAUUAGAAGAAGUGUAUGUGACAGGAGACCACCUAAAUAUCUUCAAGACUUUGUCACUGGAUUUCAAAUCAAUUCAAUUUUUGCUUGUUAUAAAGGGGAAAGUUGUGUUGUAUCCUAUCCAGUAACUUGUAUGUUUUCUUAUUUAGCAAUUUGUCCCAGUGGGGAUCCUGUAGAGUGUGUGUGUGUGUGGGGGGGAGACAAAGUGUGGGGGGUGGUUUCAGAAAGGAAAGGGGAGGGGA